GUCUCACUAAGUUGCUGAAUUGCCCAGGCUGGGCUUGAACUCGAAGUUCUCCUGCCUCAGCCUCCCGAGUGCUGGGAUCACAGAGCUGGCCAGCGACGCCUGAUCGGGACCCCAUGUGCUCAGGCAUGGAAGAAUGGAUAUGCAGACACAGAGAUGACCAAGAUGAGUGGACACAGCCCUGUGAGUGAGGAGGUCGCUGGGCACCGGCAGAGAAACAGGGACCAGGCAGCGUGUGACCUCUGGAUGCAGGACGGUGACGACAGCAGCUCACCUGUGCAGGAUCUCAUUAUGCGGCCCAGGCUGGCCUGGAACUCAGGG